rnacentral:rRNA from 1 species
AAUAGAUACCCGGGUAGUCCACGCCGUAAACGUUGGGCGCUAGAUGUGGGGGCCAUUCCACGGUUUCCGCGUCGUAGCUAACGCAUUAAGCGCCCCGCCUGGGGAGUACGGCCGCAAGGCUAAAACUCAAAGGAAUUGACGGGGGGCCCGCACAAGCGGCGGAGCAUGCGGAUUAAUUCGAUGCAACGCGAAGAACCUUACCAAGGCUUGACAUAUACGAGAACACUGCAGAAAUGUAGGACUCUUUGGACACUCGUAUACAGGUGGUGCAUGGUUGUCGUCAGCUCGUGUCGUGAGAUGUUGGGUUAAGUCCCGCAACGAGCGCAACCCUCGUCGCAUGUUGCCAGCACGUAAAGGUGGGAACUCAUGUGAGACUGCCGGGGUCAACUCGGAGGAAGGUGGGGAUGACGUCAAAUCAUCAUGCCCCUUAUGUCUUGGGCUUCACGCAUGCUACAAUGGCCGGUACAAAGGGCUGCAAUACCGUAAGGUGGAGCGAAUCCCAAAAGCCGGUCUCAGUUCGGAUUGAGGUCUG